rnacentral:rRNA from 1 species
CCAGACUCCUACGGGAGGCAGCAGUGGGGAAUAUUGCACAAUGGGCGCAAGCCUGAUGCAGCCAUGCCGCGUGUAUGAAGAAGGCCUUCGGGUUGUAAAGUACUUUCAGUCGGGAGGAAGGUGGUAAGGUUAAUAACCUUAUCAAUUGACGUUACCGGCAGAAGAAGCACCGGCUAACUCCGUGCCAGCAGCCGCGGUAAUACGGAGGGCGCAAGCGUUAAUCGGAAUUACUGGGCGUAAAGCGCACGCAGGCGGCCUGUCAAGUCGGAUGUGAAAUCCCCGGGCUCAACCUGGGAACUGCAUUCGAAACUGGCAGGCUGGAGUCUUGUAGAGGGGGGUAGAAUUCCAGGUGUAGCGGUGAAAUGCGUAGAGAUCUGGAGGAAUACCGGUGGCGAAGGCGGCCCCCUGGACAAAGACUGACGCUCAGGUGCGAAAGCGUGGGGAGCAAACAGGAUUAGAUACCCCCGUAGA